rnacentral:rRNA from 1 species
GUCUAUCGUCAUACCACCCUGAAUGCACCCAAUUCGUCUGAUCUCGGAAGCUAACCAGGGUCAGUCCUGGUUAGUACUUGAAUGGGAGAUUGAUUUUUAUUGGAAAAGCAGAUCAGAUU